rnacentral:rRNA from 1 species
AUACGUAGGGGCCGAGCGUUGUCCGGAAUUACUGGGCGUAAAGGGCGCGCAGGCGGAUAUUUAAGUCAGCUGUAAAAGGCAUGAGCUCAACUCAUGUAUGCGGUUGAAACUGGGUAUCUAGAGUGCUGGAGAGGUAGGCGGAAUUCCCGGUGGAGCGGUGAAAAGCGUAGAUAUCGGGAAGAACACCAGUGGCGAAGGCUGCUUACUGGCCAGCAACUGACGCUGAGGCGCUAAAGCCAGGGGAGCUAACGGGAUUAGAUACCCCGGUAGUCCUGGCCGUAAACGAUUAAUGCUAGGUGUGGGUGUCGAGAGGCAUCCGUGCCGGAGUUAACGCGAUAAGCAUUCCGCCUGGGGAGUACGAUCGCAAGAUUGAAACUCAAAUGAAUUGGCGGGG